rnacentral:ncRNA from 2 species
CAACAUAGGAUAGCGCCAGGCUUAUCAUUAAGAAUGAUAAGUGACGAGGAUUGAGUUUAUCGAAUGAUUCGGCGGGUGACUCAAGGCAGUGCAGUCUACAGCAAUAUACAAAAAUCUCUGUGGGGAUACAAAAUUUUUGCAUGCACCAGA